UAGCUCUCACACUCUUCAGUCGAUCAGCCAUGGACAAAGGUUUGCUGCUGGUCCUGUUGUGUCUGCAGGUCGUCCUGCUCACCACAGCCUUCACUUCUGCUGAUGAAGCCGCUCUGCUGAGAGAUGGUCAGCAUCAACUCCAGGCUGUUGAUCUGAUGAGACGUCGGCGGCAAGUGAAACAAAGAGGACAAACGGAGAAGAAACCUCCACCCUGCUCGACGAGACGAGGAAGAUGCACUUUGACAGGACGAACAUCUUUUGACCAGCUCAAGCCAGACUCAGCCGUCUAGAGUCAAGCUCUGCAGGAAGUGCCAUCAGACGUAGAAGAUAGCAAAUGAAUGAAGAUGAUUGUAAUGCUUACAAAGCAAUGCAAGUGCUUUUAAUAAGAAAUAAAAGAUUUCAAAUCAGA